rnacentral:rRNA from 1 species
UACGGAGGGAACUAGCGUUGUUCGGAAUUACUGGGCGUAAAGCGCGCGUAGGCGGCUUUGUAAGUUAGAGGUGAAAGCCCGGGGCUCAACCCCGGAACUGCCUUUAAGACUGCAUCGCUUGAAUCCAGGAGAGGUGAGUGGAAUUCCGAGUGUAGAGGUGAAAUGCGCAGAUAUCAGGAGGAACACCAAUGGCGAAGGCAGCUCGCUGGGACGGUACUGACGCUGAGACGCGAAAGCGUGGGGAGCAAACAGG